rnacentral:lncRNA from 1 species
ACUUUGAUCCUCAAAGUUUAAUUUAUUGCGAUUCUAGCUCUAACUUUCUAUAUUAUUGCAAUCAAGUUCACAUGGCAUGCAGUUUAUUUGAUUCAAUAAUCUUGAUGUACUUGUUACUGAUAUUAUAAUGAGUAAUAUUUUCGACAUGACGGCAACAUCAAUUCAAAUAUUGCAACACCACUGUCGUAUCAGCGGAAUACUAUCAUUUAGUCAAUUAAAUUGGACUGUAAGGCUUACUUGUAACGCACAGAAGUUUAGUGUUUAAGGACUGAAGUGUCACG